rnacentral:tRNA from 1 species
GGGGCCUUAGCUCAGCUGGGAGAGCGCCUGCUUUGCACGCAGGAGGUCAGCGGUUCGAUCCCGCUAGGCUCCAUUAUCUAGGAUACAGAGUAACCUAGAUAAC